GGGCGUUUGGUUUAGUGGUAUAAUACCCCAUUCGCAUUGGGGUGGUCCUGGGUUCGAUUCCCAGAACGUCCA